UGAUGAGGAUGAAGAUGAUGGACUCAAUGAUGGUGAGAAGAGGUCAGCUAUCUUGGAACAACUUGAUUCUCAUGGAUCACAGGUUAUGCAACGUGGUCUGGUGGAAGGACAGGAAGAUAGGCAAAAAUCCAAGAAAGAAGUGAUGGAAGAAAUCAUUUUGAAGAGUAAAUUCUUCAAGGCUCAAAAAGCAAAGGAUAAAGAAGAAAAUGAGCAGUUGGUUGAAGAAUUGGACAAAGAUUUCACAUCCA